rnacentral:rRNA from 1 species
AACGCUGGCGGCGCGCUUAACACAUGCAAGUCGAGCGAGAACCGGAGCUUCGGCUCCGGGGACAGCGGCGAACGGGUGAGUAACACGUGGGUAAUCUGCCCUCGGUUCUGGGAUAGCCCGGGGAAACUCGGAUUAAUACCGGAUAGCCUCUCUGGCCUUCGGGUCGGCGAGAAAAGGUAGCUUCGGCCUCCCACUGAGGAUGAGCCCGCGGCGGAUUAGCUUGUUGGCGGGGUAACGGCCCACCAAGGCGACGAUCCGUAGCUGGUCUGAGAGGACGAUCAGCCACACUGGGACUGAGACACGGCCCAGACUCCUACGGGAGGCAGCAGUGGGGAAUCUUGCGCAAUGGGCGAAAGCCUGACGCAGCGACGCCGCGUGAGGGAAGAAGGCCUUCGGGUUGUAAACCUCUUUCAGGUGGGACGAAGCCACUCGGGUGAAUAGCCCAGAGGGUGACGGUACCUCCAGAAGAAGCCCCGGCUAACUACGUGCCAGCCGCCGCCGUAAAAC